rnacentral:tRNA from 1 species
GCGGGUGUAGCUCAGUGGUAGAGCAUCUGCCUUCCAAGCAGACGGUCGUGGGUUCGAGCCCCAUCGCCCGCUCCA